AGCCUCGGGGUCUCGGGCAAGGGGCUCAGGUGGCCGCCAUCUUGGAAUGCGAACCGGGUCGCUACGCUCGCGCUAGGGGUGGAGUGACCGGCACUCUUACCUGAAGCCGACCUUGUCGCCGCCCGCACUGGAGUCAGGGCACCGGAGAGUGUCACGUUAAUGGAUUCCAUGGCUAGUCCAGGGAAAGAUAAUUACAGAAUGAAAAGUUAUAAGAAUAAAGCCCUAAAUCCUCAGGAGAUGCGCAGAAGAAGAGAAGAAGAAGGAAUACAGCUUCGAAAACAAAAAAGGGAAGAACAGUUGUUCAAACGCAGAAAUGUCUCUUUGCCCAGAAAUGAUGACUCUAUGUUAGAAAGUCCUAUCCAGGAUCCAGAUAUCAGUUCUACUGUACCCAUUCCAGAGGAAGAAGUUAUUACCACAGAUAUGGUUCAGAUGAUUUUUUCUAACAAUGCUGAACAACAGCUGACAGCAACACAGAAAUUUAGAAAGCUACUUUCUAAAGAACCUAAUCCACCAAUAGAUCAAGUUAUACAGAAACCAGGAGUUGUACAGAGAUUUGUGAAAUUCCUUGAAAGAAAUGAAAAUUGUACCUUACAAUUUGAAGCAGCAUGGGCACUAACUAAUAUAGCAUCUGGAACUUUUCUGCACACCAAGGUAGUGAUUGAAACUGGGGCUGUUCCAAUUUUUAUCAAACUUCUUAAUUCAGAACAUGAAGAUGUUCAGGAACAGGCUGUUUGGGCACUUGGUAAUAUUGCGGGUGAUAAUGCAGAAUGCAGAGAUUUUGUUUUGAAUUGUGAAAUACUUCCACCUCUUUUAGAGUUAUUAACAAAUUCAAACAGACUUACAACAACCAGAAAUGCUGUAUGGGCUCUCUCAAACUUAUGUAGAGGCAAAAACCCUCCUCCAAACUUUAGUAAGGUUUCACCUUGCUUAAAUGUCCUGUCACGAUUGUUGUUUAGCAGUGACCCGGAUGUGUUAGCAGAUGUGUGCUGGGCCCUUUCUUAUCUCUCUGAUGGACCCAAUGAUAAAAUUCAAGCAGUCAUAGAUUCUGGAGUCUGUCGAAGAUUGGUGGAACUUUUGAUGCACAAUGAUUAUAAAGUUGUAUCACCUGCAUUAAGAGCAGUUGGUAAUAUUGUGACAGGUGAUGAUAUUCAAACACAGGUAAUUUUGAAUUGUUCUGCAUUACCCUGCCUCUUACACUUGUUGAGUAGUCCAAAGGAGUCAAUUAGAAAAGAAGCCUGCUGGACUAUUUCUAACAUCACUGCUGGAAACAGAGCUCAGAUUCAGGCUGUUAUAGAUGCAAGUAUUUUUCCUGUUUUGAUUGAGAUUCUUCAGAAAGCAGAGUUUCGCACCAGAAAAGAAGCAGCUUGGGCUAUAACUAAUGCAACAUCAGGAGGCACCCCAGAGCAAAUAAGGUAUUUGGUAGCCUUAGGCUGCAUUAAACCACUUUGUGACCUUUUGACUGUUAUGGACUCCAAAAUAGUACAAGUGGCUUUAAAUGGACUUGAAAAUAUUUUACGUCUUGGAGAACAAGAAUCUAAGCAGAAUGGAGUAGGCAUUAAUUCAUAUUGUGCUCUCAUUGAAGAAGCAUAUGGUCUAGAUAAAAUUGAAUUUCUACAAAGCCAUGAAAAUCAAGAAAUUUACCAAAAGGCUUUUGAUCUGAUUGAACAUUAUUUUGGUGUAGAAGAAGAUGACCCCAGCAUUGUACCUCAGGUGGAUGAAAACCAACAACAGUUUGUAUUUCAGCAGCAGGAAGCACCAAUGGAAGGGUUUCAACUUUAAUUUGUGGAGAAAAAAAUUAAUAGCCAAGAAGGGUAGCUUCAGAUAUUUCCUCUUUGUUGCCAGUGUCAGUAGGAGUGUUUCAUGUUGUUUUUUUUUUUUACAUAGAACAGAAAAGAUUUUGACCCACUUUUAAAAGGAAAAAUGAAACAAAAAUGUCCAUUCAGAUGUAACCUUUUGUUAUAAGUAUUUUUUGUUGUUUCAGUGUUAUUAUGUAUGUUUUUGUUAUUUGAAUUUCUGUAUCUGUAAACAAUUAAAUAUGUUAUGCAGUUAUUUAACUGAAGCUUGAAAAGGAGAACUUUGAUGAAGUAUUAUGUAGUGAUUCUGAAUUUUUUCAAGUAUUCUUGGAAACUGCACAAUAGCAGUAUAGCUGUUGAUAUUGCAUUUUGGCAGUAAGUCUGACACAUCCAAUCUACUAAAUCUACCUCUGUCUUGAAGCAAAAAUAAAAACAAAAAAGCUUCAGAAGCAUGGAAUCAUGUAAAAGCUAAAUUAGAAUGUGAAAAUAUUUAUUACCUUAAGUUAUUAAUCACUGUGCUGUAGGUUAUACUUUGCAAAUAUAAAUUGCAACAGAAAAAUUGUAAAAUUUAUUUAUAAAACAAGAAAUAUUGUACUGAUAAUCAAUUAAGAUGUCACAAUUUUGAAGAGAGCAGUUCUUCAUGUUGUGCAUAUUAAAAAGAUUACAGAACACUUAAAUGUUUUUAACAUAUAAAUGCUAUUAUACUAGUAUCUUUUAUAUUUUAACCAAAUGUGCUACCAUUUUUGAAAUAGUGUUUUAUUAUGUUUUCAUUAUUCAUUUUAAAAAGCAUCAUGACAGUGAUGCCAUCAUGAAUCUAAAGUUGUGCUGCAUACCUAAAAUAAUACUGUAAUUAUUUCUCUGACUUUUCAGAGCAGUAAUUGAAGUUUUAUUCUCUUUGUAAUGAUGAACUUAAGUACUUGAAUGACAAAAGUAUGCUGAAGAAAUCACCUUAUUAUGUAUUACAUUAUAUUAAGUGCAUUUAAUGUUUGGACAGUAAGUGAUGAUAUUAAGGAAAAUUGGGAGCAAAACCAGAUGCCAUUGUUGGUUAACAUUCCAUCUACUUUAUAAAACCACCAAAGAAGAUAAAGUGGAAUCAUAAAAACAUACUUGAUUAAUCCAAAAUUAGGCAGAAGAGGAGGAAAAAGGAGACAAAAAAAUUCGAAUAGCAAGAUGGUAGAUCUAAACUCAAUUACAUCAAUAAUCACAGUGAUUUUUAAUGAUUUAAAGAUUCCAGUUAAAGAGCAGAGAUUGUCAGAAUAAAAUAUUAAUACCCAAAUGAUAGAUUUGUUUUCAGUUUUUUAAGAAACUUCCAUACUAUUCGUAAUGACUCUGCUAAGUUACAUUCUAUUAAUUAAAGUAUAAGAUUUCUCUCUUCUCCACAUCCUUAACAGCAUUUGUAACUUUUUUGUCUUUUUGAUAAUAGCCAUUAUAACUGGUGUGAAAUAGUAUCUCAUUGUGGUUUUGAUUUGCAUUUCUGUUGGCUAAUGAUAAUGAGCCUGCUUCUGGUUAUAUGUCCAUGAGAAGUGAAAUCAAUAUACCAAAGAGAUUCCUUCUCUCCCAUGUUUUGCAGCACAAUUCAUAAUUAAGAUACAGAAUCAACCCAGUUGUUUUCUUGAGCUUUUUCAUGAGAUACAAUUAAGUUACUUGGGAAAUACUGGAUCUUUAUAGGCUUGCUUUCAAACUUUGUGAGGCAGACACAGGACAGCCUUUAUUUUACUCCCGAAGCAGUUUCAUUCUGAAUACUGUGAUACUCCAUGAAUUACCGGUAAUAUGUUUCCCCUUGUCCUUUCAGGUGGUUAUUUUGAUGGUCUCAGGGUGGUCACGUGAUCAACUAAGCUGAACACUCACAGACCCACUGCAUAUCAGCCUGUAUAACUCUGUCCCCUGGGGACAGCAUUCUGUGAACUCUGCUUGUCCUGGCCUUCCAACUCUGUCCCCAACUCAGUCUUCCAAGCUCAUCCUGGCUUUCCCUUCUGUGUCCUGCAGUCUUGAUAUCCCCUUAUAAGUAAAAUGGCACCACAAUAGGACUCCUUUAUUUCACUCACUGCUCACUACCUGAUGUCUGUUGUUAGUUUCAUAUUUUUGUCUCAUGUUUUAGUUGUUUCAGGCUAGAGGUAAAUAAUAGUCCUUAUUAUCCCAUUUUGGCCAGAAGCACACAAUAGAAUAGCAAUGCAUAAUGUUCUUUAGAAAAGAAGAAUAUGGACUUUAAUGAAAUGUAUCAAAUGUGAACUUUAAUCCCUUUUAUCAUUUCUAAUAUUAUCUUUUUUUAAUCUUAAUGAUUUGCCAAAUUUUGUUACAUUGUUCUUCUGUAACCUUUUACUUAUUUCAUUAGUUUCUGCCCUUAAUUUUAUAAUUAUCAAUCUUCUAGUCCGUUUGGAGUUUUUCUAGUUAUUUUUUUUUCUUUUAGGAUAUUUAAGACAUUUGUUCUAAAUCUUUUCUAAGAAAAGCACCUUGUGAGGAUAAAAAUUUACAUUUAUGAUUUUAAAAUGUAAUGCCAAAUUAAGAAUAUACAGGGAUGAGAUAUAUAAUUUAAAAAGUUAAAUUAGUGUUAUUCAAACAAGUUUGAAGACGACUGCCAUUUUGAUUUUAAAGAACCCUUAAUGGUUUAGUUUAAGCUAAUUUUAAUGACACGCACAAAUUGAUCAUUUUAGCAUUCUCCAGUAACCAAAAACUGGACCAAGCAUCCAGGUAAUUUGGCAUAUUCAUACAGUGGAAUAUUAUAAAGCCGUUAAAAGGAAUGAAUUAUGUUAAGAAUCCACACAUGUGCAUACUUAAUGACUUCAUGUAUAUAAAGUUCAAAAACAGGCAAAACCAGUGUAUGGUGAUGAAAAUCAGAACUGAUGGUUAUCUUUAGGGAGUGAUAACUUGAGAAAGAGCAGAAAGGCUUCAGAGGUACUAUUGAUAUUCUACUUUUUGACUUGGGCAGUGAUUAUAUAAGUAUGUUCUCUGAGACUCUCUUCAAACUAUAUAUAGUUUUUUGUGCACUAUUUUUUUAAUAAAAGUUUGCU